AGUUUUUUUAUUUAGUAAAAGAUAUAAUCUGCCCAAUGAAAAUUAAAAUUUUUAAAAGGCUGCAGUAUAUUGACUGUGCAAAGGUAGCAUAAUCAUUAGGUUUUUAAUUGAGAUCUGGAAUGAAUGGUUAAAUGAAAUAAAAUCUUUUUUAAUUUUAAUAUUUGAAUUUUAUAUAUUAGUAAAAAAUCUUAUUUAACAAAAAAAGACGAGAAGACCCUAUAGAAUUUUAUAAAAUUUAAUUUAAUUAAUUAUUUUUAUUUAAUUAAUUAUAUAAAAAUUUAUUUUAUUGGGGAGAUAUUUAAAUUUUUUUAACUUUAAUAAAAUAAAAUCAUUAAUAAAUGUUAAUGUUGAUCUUUUUUUAUUGAUUGAUAAAUUAAAUUACCUUAGGGAUAACAGCAUAAUAAUUCUAUUAAGUUCUUAUUAGUGGAAAAGAUUAUGACCUCGAUGUUGAAUUAAAAUAAUUAUUAUAUGAAGGAGUAUAAUAAAUAAGUCUGUUCGACUUUUAAAUUUUUACAUGAUUUGAGUUCAAAUCGGUGUAAG
rnacentral:rRNA from 1 species